GGCGCAUUCGUCUAGUGGCCUAGGACACCGCCCUCUCACGGCGAAAACCCGGGUUCGACUCCCGGUUGCGCUA
rnacentral:tRNA from 1 species